ensembl:snoRNA U3 Small nucleolar RNA U3
AAGACUACACUCACAGGGAUCAUUUCUACAGUUUGUUACUAAAGAACUUUUCUUGCACAUGUAGAGCAGUGAUAAUCACUGCUAAACCAGUGAU